UUUUAUUUUUUCAUUUCACCCCCCCCUUUAAUAAAAGAAAAACAUGGUACUAAUAGUCUAUGUCUCUCAGGCAAAAUAUAGUUAAACAUAGACGUAUGGAUUUAAGUGAACUCUAUGAACAAAUCAAGCUUGAGAGCAAUUAAAGCAAUAAUCACUUUGAAUUUUAAAGUAACUUUAAAUGGCAACAUACCUUUAAAAAAAAAAUAAACGCUUUUUCCCCAAUAUGCACAUUUUUGAAGUUUCUACAAUAAUCUGUAAUCUAAUGAUAUCAGGAUCAACAAAUUACCUUCUUCCUAUCAGAGCUGCCAAUGAACGUAACAAGAAUCAGCUGAAUCAAAUAAACUGGAGCAUUAUAUGGAAGUCACAACCAUCUAUCAUCCACUAUCACUUUUCUGAAGAAGCUGUUGGACAAAAAUAGGUAUUUUUCACAAUGCCAUUACCUUUUCAUCUCAGUCUGUAUAACUGAUUAUAAAUCUAACCUAUAUUCACUUCUGUUUUCCUUAAAGUCUGUUUGUAAUAUUAAGUGACUUACUCUUUUCACUUUCAAUUAUAAUAAGUCAAAUCCCUUUAAACUAAGAUCAGGAGCCCCCUUGUGACAACAUGAUACAGAUGUAUCUAACUAACCAAGUUACUAAAUCUAUUUUCUACACCGGACCUUUGAUUAUCUUUACUGAACAGCCCCAGUUAUGUGUUGGUGUAACCGGUAAAUGACUGAAUUUGUUUCUACUAAGCUUAUCCGUGUCUAAUUUUGCUCUCUACAAGGUUUACAAAUUUAUGUUUGCUACAUUUUAUUUUCCACUGUCUAACUUCAACUCUCCACAAUUUAUCCAGGCAGAGAAGGCCUGAUUUGGAUGUCCAUGCAAAGCAGGAAGUACAUCCACAAAUUGUCUGGUUCCAUUGUCUAGUUUUAUACACCAUUCGUCCAGGCCAAGCAGCCCCCAUUGGGUAGGCUCUGCAAUACCACUUCACCAAUCCCACACUCUUCAAGAGAAAGGUUUCAUCGCGUUUAAAGCUGUCCUCUGCAGGCCUUCCUGGACAUUCUAAACUUCCUCCAGUUUACUAAAGAGACUGAAGAAAAACCAAUACCCCUCCCAUUCAUUAAUUGGCAAAAUCCACAACAUUUACCAGACUGAAGCAAGGAUCACAACGGCUGUAGCAAAGUUCAGAAACCUACUCCUCAAACCAGAGCUCCAUACUCUGUCUGACGCUGUAAACUAUGUAAGUAGGGGUGUACUAGUAUUGGUACAGAAUGGUUCCUGGACCAAUUCCAGGUGGAAGUGAUCAUCCCUAUCCCCUUGGACUAAGGAGCGAGCAGGGAACAUGCAUGCAUUUGUUGUUAGGAAUGCACUUGACAAAAGCAGCAAUGUAACUUCACCUUCAGCUGGCAUGUUACUGUGACUACACCGCACGUGUCCAUCAGCAGAUGUCACCAUUUUACUGUUGUGUGGGUGGGCUUUUUAACCAUUGCAAAUAUUUUAGAUUUAAAAUUUUAAAGGGCUUUUUUUUUUUUUUUUUUUUUUUUAACAAAUUUUAAAUUGUUGACCUCCAUCAGCGACUGACACAUGCUGUGUUGUUAUUGGAACAUCCCAGCUGAAGAUGAGGAAAUUCUCACUCCUUUUGCCAAGUGUGUUCCUAAUGACAAGUGUAUGCACUUGCCCUGCUCACUCCAAAGUCCCCAAUCCAAGGGGAUCAGGAUGAUCCCUUCCCUUUUGUAUUUUUGCCCAGGAACCGCUCUGUACUGGCACACUCCUAAUAUGUAAGGCACCAUUCAAAUCAAUACCUAUCCCUCUGCAUCUGAUCUUAUUGACCACACCACUUCCCAAACCACAAUAUCCCAGAUAUCCACCUGCAAAUCUUUCUACAAGUCCUAAGGCAUAACUCCCUACACCUACAGUCUACUGACAAUUAAAAGACAACAACUGGUACGAGCAAUGUUCACAUUAAGUCUAAUUCAUGUUCCAGAAAAUGCCACCACCCAACAUGGUCUUAGUCUCAACGCUUGCUCUACCACCUGUAACGAUUGCAAUACACCAGAACAAUGUAACACAAAUUUCAAUAGUAAUCAAACAUCACAUCCCACACAAUGUCAUACCUCAAGUAACCCUUAACACCCCCAUCCCCUGCAGUCAACUAACAAACCGCUUCAAGCCUUUGAGCAAUUAAUGGAGCACUUCCCACCUGGCACCUCAACCCCUCCAACAACAUCCAAUGUAACAUUUUCAGUCACUCGACCCACAAAAUCCACCACCCUUAGCCUGCAAAAGAACUUCCUAUCUGGGGAAAAAAAUGGUUGUACAUGUUCAUACACUUUUGCUUGUAGAUGCAGAAGUACAUGUGCACAUUUCUACAAUGCUCUACUUGCAUGUUUGUAGUACAUGUACAUUAACGCAAACAUCUUCAGACAUCGUAACAAUGUAGUACAUAAAUGACCUUAAGAAUAUUUAUUCAAACGCCUGCAUGGUACAAGUCCACAUACACCUGAAUACAAACCCUUUCAAACAUUCAAGAACAUGUGCACACUACACCUACUUACAUGUACAUGGAUUCAUCCAAUAACACCGCCAUCUGCAUACAUGCAUAAUUUGCAUGUUCGUGUAUUUACACAAACCCCUACAUCUGCAGUCAUGCAUGGACAUUGUGGGAAGUGCUCCACCAUCAAUUACAUUCCAACCUACAUAUAUCUAUACCUGCCUACCCCUAUACAUGCAAGCCGACAGCAAGGUUCUGGGAAGUUGUCUUUCUCACAAAAGGAAAAGUAUUUAAACGUUAUAUUUUAUUUAUAAAAUUGUCUCCUUGACAACAGCCCAUAUUUUGUUUACUUUAAAAAGCAAGGUUGUUUUACAAGCAACUAUUUCUAUCAUAACUGCCUAGGAUUCUCAAUGUUGUGUGUUUCUUUUUUUUUAUUUUUUAUAAUGCAACCUUUUUUGUUUUAAUUUCUAAUUGCAUAACGUGGUGGGCAAAGGUGUAAAAAUCUCACUCUGAUUUUUGUAGUUCUAAAAUGUGUUUUUUUUUUUGUUGUUUUUUUUUAACCAUGGGUUGUAGUCAUAGUUGUUUCAAUUGCCUAACGAUUAUCACUUGUAAUUCGGUUUAAUGUCCA